rnacentral:snRNA from 1 species
AUCACUUCUCAGCCUUUUGGCUAAGAUCAAGUAUAGUACCUUACUCAAACAAGGUAAUUUAAUGAAAUUUAGUUAUUCAAUGUUUGAUAAUAAGAACAGAAUUUUUCCUCAUUUACAACGGCUAAUGAAACUUUC